rnacentral:tRNA from 1 species
GCGGGCGUGGCGGAACGGCAGACGCGCCGGGUUUAGGUCCCGGUGGGGGAGACCCCGUGGAGGUUCAAGUCCUCUCGCCCGCA